GAUGAACGCUGGCGGCGUGCCUAAUACAUGCAAGUCGAGCGAACAGACGAGGAGCUUGCUCCUCUGACGUUAGCGGCGGACGGGUGAGUAACACGUGGAUAACCUACCUAUAAGACUGGGAUAACUUCGGGAAACCGGAGCUAAUACCGGAUAAUAUAUUGAACCGCAUGGUUCAAUAGUGAAAGACGGUUUUGCUGUCACUUAUAGAUGGAUCCGCGCCGCAUUAGCUAGUUGGUAAGGUAACGGCUUACCAAGGCGACGAUGCGUAGCCGACCUGAGAGGGUGAUCGGCCACACUGGAACUGAGACACGGUCGAGACUCCUACGGGAGGCAGCAGUAGGGAAUCUUCCGCAAUGGGCGAAAGCCUGACGGUGCAACGCCGCGUGAGUGAUGAUGGUCUUCGGAUCGUAAAACUCUGUUAUUAGGGAAGAACAAAUGUGUAAGUAACUAUGCACGUCUUGACGGUACCUAAUCAGAAAGCCACGGCUAACUACGUG
rnacentral:rRNA from 1 species